UACGGAGGGGGCUAGCGUUGUUCGGAAUUACUGGGCGUAAAGCGCACGUAGGCGGCUUGGUAAGUUGGGGGUGAAAUCCCGGGGCUCAACCCCGGAACUGCCUUCAAAACUCCCAGUCUGGAGGUCGAGAGAGGUGAGUGGAAUUCCGAGUGUAGAGGUGAAAUUCGUAGAUAUUCGGAGGAACACCAGUGGCGAAGGCGGCUCACUGGCUCGAUACUGACGCUGAGGUGCGAAAGCGUGGGGAGCAAACAGG
rnacentral:rRNA from 1 species